CAACGCCGCACACAUCUCAUUCCUUUCUCGAUUCCUUGAUUUCCUUCUUCCGAAAACCCUUGUUCCUCUCCGGCGAUUCCUCCGUCCCAAUCGCCGAUGCUGUCGGUCGAGCCUCCCUCUCCGUCUCCUUCUCCCUCCUGAGUUCGAUCGCGCCGACGCCGUGUAGCCAUCGAGCCUUCCUUCUCCUCCAUCGAUUGACCGAGUCCGUCCAGCCACAUGACCCUCCCUCUCCGGGUCGCGGACGCCGGGGGCUCGCCGGGAAUGUGCAUCCAAGACCUCUAUUUUCCCGUGCCCUAGAUCGCUGGAUCGGUAAUCCAUCAUCGUCGGCACUUGCACUCCAUCCUGGUCGUCACCACCCUUUUUCCUCCUCUCUCGCGGGAUGCCUCGACCCUCACCGUCGAUUUAUGUUGUUGCUCUCUUUGUGGUGUGAAUCCAGCAACCAUUGUCGAUGUCGUUCUGGUGUUGCUGUUGCCUCCAGCUGAGCACUGUCAUCCCUAGUGAGUUCCGGCUAGUAAUCAGAUACUGAUUUAGGGUGAUGGAGGUGUGGGCAGCAGUAAGCAUCAUACCCAUGAUUUCUAGCAGUGGUUGCUUCGGUUUUGGCUCUUUGAUGGCUCCUAGUACUGUCGACACCAAUCUAUGGUAACAGGUAAAGGAGUUAUGGAAUCGCCUGGAGAUCCUGUCCGCCAAUCCCAUGUCACAUUCGAGGAUGACCUUACGAUUUUUGGUAUUUCUUACGUUAUUUGUAGUUUGGGUUUUGUAUUUGUUUAUGUAUUUGUAUUCUCUUGUAUUUGGUUUGAUAUUAUUGUG